rnacentral:rRNA from 1 species
UUAAGUUAUUAAGGGCGCACGGUGGAUGCCUUGGCACUAGAAGCCGAUGAAGGACGUUACUAACGACGAUAUGCUUUGGGUAGCUGUAAGUAAGCGUUGAUCCAGAGAUUUCCGAAUGGGGGAACCCAGCAUGAGUUAUGUCAUGUUAUCGACAUGUGAAUUCAUAGCAUGUCAGAAGGCAGACCCGGAGAACUGAAACAUCUUAGUACCCGGAGGAAGAGAAAGAAAAUUCGAUUCCCUGAGUAGCGGCGAGCGAAACGGGAAGAGCCCAAACCAAUAAGCUUGCUUAUUGGGGUUGUAGGACACUCUAUACGGAGUUACAAAGGAAUAUAUUAAACGAAUCAUCUGGAAAGUUGAAUCAAAGAAGGUAAUAAUCCUGUAGUUGAAAAUAUAUUCUCUCUUGAGUGGAUCCUGAGUACGACGGAGCACGUGAAAUUCCGUCGGAAUCUGGGAGGACCAUCUCCUAAGGCUAAAUACUCUCUAGUGACCGAUAGUGAACCAGUACCGUGAGGGAAAGGUGAAAAGUACCCCGGAAGGGGAGUGAAAGAGAACUUGAAACCGUGUGCUUACAAGUAGUCAGAGCCCGUUAAUGGGUGAUGGCGUGCCUUUUGUAGAAUGAACCGGCGAGUUACGAUCUGAUGCAAGGUUAAGCAGCAAAUGUGGAGCCGCAGCGAAAGCGAGUCUGAAUAGGGCGUUGAGUAUUUGGUCGUAGACCCGAAACCAGGUGAUCUACCCUUGGUCAGGUUGAAGUUCAGGUAACACUGAAUGGAGGACCGAACCGACUUACGUUGAAAAGUGAGCGGAUGAACUGUGGGUAGCGGAGAAAUUCCAAUCGAACUUGGAGAUAGCUGGUUCUCUCCGAAAUAGCUUUAGGGCUAGCCUCAAGUGAUGAUUAUUGGAGGUAGAGCACUGUUUGGACGAGGGGCCCCUCUCGGGUUACCGAAUUCAGACAAACUCCGAAUGCCAAUUAAUUUAACUUGGGAGUCAGAACAUGGGUGAUAAGGUCCGUGUUCGAAAGGGAAACAGCCCAGACCACCAGCUAAGGUCCCAAAAUAUAUGUUAAGUGGAAAAGGAUGUGGCGUUGCCCAGACAACUAGGAUGUUGGCUUAGAAGCAGCCAUCAUUUAAAGAGUGCGUAAUAGCUCACUAGUCGAGGGACACUGCGCCGAAAAUGUACCGGGGCUAAACAUAUUACCGAAGCUGUGGAUUGUCCUUUGGACAAUGGUAGGAGAGCGUUCUAAGGGCGUCGAAGCAUGAUCGCAAGGACAUGUGGAGCGCUUAGAAGUGAGAAUGCCGGUGUGAGUAGCGAAAGACGGGUGAGAAUCCCGUCCACCGAUUGACUAAGGUUUCCAGAGGAAGGCUCGUCCGCUCUGGGUUAGUCGGGUCCUAAGCUGAGGCCGACAGGCGUAGGCGAUGGAUAACAGGUUGAUAUUCCUGUACCACCUAGUAUCGUUUUAAUCGAUGGGGGGACGCAGUAGGAUAGGCGAAGCGUGCUGUUGGAGUGCACGUCCAAGCAGUAAGGCUGAGUGUUAGGCAAAUCCGGCACUCAUAAGGCUGAGCUGUGAUGGGGAGAGGAAAUUGUUUCCUCGAGUCGUUGAUUUCACACUGCCGAGAAAAGCCUCUAGAUAGAUAACAGGUGCCCGUACCGCAAACCGACACAGGUAGUCAAGAUGAGAAUUCUAAGGUGAGCGAGCGAACUCUCGUUAAGGAACUCGGCAAAAUGACCCCGUAACUUCGGGAGAAGGGGUGCUCUUUAGGGUUCACGCCCAGAAGAGCCGCAGUGAAUAGGCCCAAGCGACUGUUUAUCAAAAACACAGGUCUCUGCUAAACCGUAAGGUGAUGUAUAGGGGCUGACGCCUGCCCGGUGCUGGAAGGUUAAGAGGAGUGGUUAGCUUCUGCGAAGCUACGAAUCGAAGCCCCAGUAAACGGCGGCCGUAACUAUAACGGUCCUAAGGUAGCGAAAUUCCUUGUCGGGUAAGUUCCGACCCGCACGAAAGGCGUAACGAUUUGG